ensembl:lncRNA
GCUGGGUAUCCAGUGUGUGCCUUCCUCCCACCCUCCUCUCCACAAGAAGGAUGAGAGACAAGCCCAACCCAUCCCAUGUAUUCUAGGGAGUCAAACGCACUUGGAGGCGUAUUUAUAGGGUGGCAACCAAGACACCAUGCAGUAGUGUUGGAAGGAUCCAUCUGAGCAGCUGAAGUCUCCUAUUUCCUUGGUCUUCGUGGCUCAGGGAACAAGGUGGGCCCUUUCUAAUGGGAGCACCUUUCUGUGACCUUGGGUUGCCUCACCUCCUCCCCGCUGUUGCUGGAUGCUGCCCCUCAGAGCUGAGUGUGGGGCUGAUCUUUGUGUUUUCUUGCAGCAAGGGAAGAUCAGCACCUCUGAAAGGCCCCCAGGGUGGGAUGUGGAAGUGCCACAGGUCGACUGGUCCCCAGUAUGUUCACCUGGCAUCCCUUGGGAAGAGAGCCGCGCAGACACCGACACGUCCGUACCCACCCAAAGGAUCUCCUAUUGCUGGAAGAAGAGCUGUAAUUUCGGCUGCCUGGCCCUGGCUGCAGGGGCACAUCACACAGCGCUGAGGUAUGUGGAAAAGUCCCCCUGAUACGUCCUGAAGAUGCCACACAGCCCAGCCCAACCCAGGAGCCACAUAGCUGCAAUUAACGCUGCACCCCAGCUAAUUAGUUCUGCUAAAAAUGAGGAAAACUAGCAGGGGCUAAUUACUGCACUAAUUUGAUCUGUGAGCUGGAGCUUGGGUCUGGCUGCUGCAGAGCAGAGCACAGCAGCUUGCAGAGGUCUGUGCAAGCAUCACUUUGUUCGAGAGCUGGGAACGGUCCAGCAAGGUCCCCCUGCAGGCCCGUCCUGCAGCAGAGCUGUGUGUGCAGAGCUUUGCAGCCACGCUCUCUGGACUCCUGCCCUGGCUGCAGGACGCCCUCGGGAGCAACGUUGUCCUCGGGAUAAAUCCCAGCAGAUGCCAGGAGCUGCUGCUGGUGGGAUUAGUGGGAUGGAAGCGUGGGAGGAGGAUGUGGCACCUGGCUGGGGGUAGGGAAAUCCUGACACGUCCCGAGUCCCCUCAGCUGAGCACAGAUUGGUGUAACUCCUUUCUGCUGAUAGAUCCCCAGCAUGGAGGGUCUCUAGGGGUGCAGAAGGGGAUGUGGAGCAUGACAAACCAACCCUGAAGUCUGGGAGAUGCCAUGGCCCGUUCCCAUUGCUGGCUGUAGGUGCGGGUGGCCAGACCUGAGCUGAAAAUGCCCCAACCUGUGGGUGCUGAGCUCUCCUACGGGAUGCUGUGUUUUAAUGCCUCAUUAAUGUCAUGGCUGGGAAAUAGCUCUGAGGACAAGCAGGGAGCUGGGGUGGGGGAAGUGGAGGUGACCGGGUCCCACAGGAGUGAGGGAGCAGUGCUGUGCAGGAGCUGAGGCUGUGGCAUGUGGGCAGGAAUGUGGCCAAACACAGCGGUCUGGGGAGGAGGAGGAGGAUGUGGGCUCGCUGGUGUGGAGGUGGGGCACAGCCCUAUGCAGUGUCACCCAGCAAGGUGGGACACGUGGCAAGGAUACGGUGGGGUCAGGAGGAGAGAGGGAAAGUCUCAGUUCCUUUUGGUGACUCACAGCGAUGUCCCACGGGGUCAUUCCUUCUCUCAUUGCUCGGGGUGACAAUCUGAUGGCUCUGCUUGUCCCCUCUCUGCGUUGUCCCUGUCAGUGCCAUGUGGGGCUGUGCUGGCUGCUCCUCGUCACGUUGGGGGGGGCCAGGGGUGUCCCAUGUGGCGGUGGCACUGCGGCCAUUCCCUCCUGAAAAGGAGCCCACUGCAUCUAUGGCUGCAGGCAAGAGGUAGGUGGGCACAUGGGGAUGCUCCAGCCCUCGGGCUUUCCCCCUCUCUUCUUUUUAAUGCUGCUGGUGUAUAUUAAUGCUAAACAAGCCCGACUGCCUGCUCUGAAUCUCUCUCCUGGUACCAGCGGUGCUCGGGUCCCCGUCCCCCUCUCCGCCUCCCUCCUGGGCACCGGCUCAGACCUCACCACGUCACGGACCAGACCUGUCCCCGCUGGACCAUCCGGAGCAUUAUUGGGGAUUAAAGGUGGCAUCCGCCAGAAGGGACCGUCCCUCCCCCGGCCAGCGGGUGGGGGAAGGAGGUGGGGGGCCUGAGUGCCCCCUGCUCCCCCUUCCCGAUGGACCCCCGGCGCUUUGUAGGGCAGAGCAGGUGCCUUUCCCCGGGGCAACGGUGGGGCCGAGGCUCCAAACCACAUCGGAUGCUGCCAAAGCCCUUCCCUGGCGUGCUGGGCUGCCAAUUAUACAGUGAACCAAAUAGAGGAGAGACUUCUAAAUGACAUUGCCUGCUUUAUCCCAACGGGACCUUUCAAGGGUAUGGCUGGAGUUUUCUUUUUCCUUUUUCUUUUUUUUUUCUUCCCUCUACACGUCCCUAUGUGUGUUUAACAACUCUCCUUCCAGAUGCAGAGAGCAUUGGCACCUCCAUGCCCCGCGUGGGUAAGUUGUAGGUGAUGGCGUGGGGGGGGCUAUGGGAGAAAUCACUGCAUGUCUCGUGGAGCAGAG